rnacentral:rRNA from 1 species
GACGAACGCUGGCGGCGUGCUUAACACAUGCAAGUCGAACGGAAAGGCCCUGCUUUUGUGGGGUGCUCGAGUGGCGAACGGGUGAGUAACACGUGAGUAACCUGCCCUUGACUUUGGGAUAACUUCAGGAAACUGGGGCUAAUACCGGAUAGGAGCUCCUGCUGCAUGGUGGGGGUUGGAAAGUGUCGGCGUUUGGGGAUGGACUCGCGGCUUAUCAGCUUGUUGGUGGGGUAGUGGCUUACCAAGGCUUUGACGGGUAGCCGGCCUGGGAGGGUGACCGGCCACAUUGGGACUGAGAUACGGCACAGACGCAUACGGGGGGCAGGAGUGGGGAAUAUUCCACAAUGGGCGCAAGACUGAUGCAGCAACGCCGCGUGCGGGAUGACGGUCGUAGGGUAGUAAACCGCUUUCGCCUGUGACGAAGCGUGGGGGAGGGAACUGGGCAAAGAAGCACCGGCUAAUUACGG